rnacentral:rRNA from 1 species
CAGUAGCCACGGUAAUACGAAGGGUGCAAGCGUUAAUCGGAAUUACUGGGCGUAAAGCGUGCGUAGGUGGUGGUUUAAGUCCGUUGUGAAAGCCCUGGGCUCAACCUGGGAAUUGCAGUGGAUACUGGGUCACUAGAGUGUGGUAGAGGAUAGUGGAAUUUCCGGUGUAGCAGUGAAAUGCGUAGAGAUCGGAAGGAACAUCUGUGGCGAAGGCGACUAUCUGGGCCAACACUGACACUGAGGCACGAAAGCGUGGGGAGCAAACAGGAUUAGAUACCCCAGUAGUCCCUGUCUCUUAUAC